rnacentral:snRNA from 1 species
AUUGCUUCUUGGCCUUUCGGCUAAGAUCAAGUGUAGUAUCUGUUCUUAUCAGUUUAGAGAAAGUAUACUGCAAUAUUCAUUUAACUCCAACUCAU